GCCUGAACGCUGGCGGCGUGGCUAAGACAUGCAAGUCGCACGGGGCCUCGCAAGAGGUCAGUGGCGAACGGGUGAGUAAAGAAUCGCUAACGUGCCCCGGACUCUGGGAUAGCUACCCGAAAGGGUGGGUAAUACCAGAUGACAUAACCUUUCUGCAUGGAGAGGUUCUCAAAGGUGUAAACCGGUCUGGGAGCGGGCGAUUUCGUAUCAGCUAGUUGGUGAGGUAACGGCUCACCAAGGCGACGACGCGUAG
rnacentral:rRNA from 1 species